rnacentral:ncRNA from 2 species
CACCGCCCAUCACUCCUACCAAUUGAAUGAUCCGAUGAAAUGUUUGGAUCGUGGUGAUAAGGGCGAUUCGCUGCACGCGAUGUCGCGAGAAGUCCAUUGAACCUUAUCAUUCAGAGGAAUGAGAAGUCGUAACAAGGUUUCUGUAGGUAAACAUCCGGAAA